GAUGAACGCUAGCGGCAGGCUUAAUACAUGCAAGUCGAGGGGCAGCAGGUCUGUAGCAAUACAGAUGCUGGCGACCGGCAAACGGGUGCGGAACACGUACAGAACCUUCCUUCGAGCGGGGAAUAGCCCAGAGAAAUUUGGAUUAAUACCCCAUAGUACAUUGAAGAGGCAUCUCUUUAAUAUUAAAGAUUUAUCACUUGAAGAUGGCUGUGCGGCUGAUUAGGUAGUUGGCGGGGUAACGGCCCACCAAGCCUACGAUCAGUAACUGGUGUGAGAGCACGACCAGUCACACGGGCACUGAGACACGGGCCCGACUCCUACGGGAGGCAGCAGUAAGGAAUAUUGGUCAAUGGACGNAACCGUCUGAACCAGCCAUGCCGCGUGGAGGAUGAAGGUCCUCUGGAUU
rnacentral:rRNA from 1 species